rnacentral:lncRNA from 1 species
UCUGCCUCAGGGAGCUCCAGAAGAGCAGCAGCAGUGGCCCAGGGCCUCUAUGGGCCGGGACUAUCUUGUCUAUUGCCAGCAGAUAGGGAGUAAGAUUCUGCAGGGGACAAAAAGCAGGCAGGCCCUAACUGGCUAAAAAUCUGCUUGUUUGGGCUAUUUUUACAUAAUUAAAUGUAUAAACAUUUGAGUUUGGCACAAGCAGGCUUUUGAGCUAAUGGGUCUCAGCUUGCAGUAAAGAUAUAAGCAAUAUAGGGGCCAACAGAGAGGUCUUCUUUGGCUCAUUUAUAAAACAAUAGGAAAAAGGGAAGAUUGCACCUCAUUUCUGGUGACCAUUUUAAUAGGACACAGGCCCAGCAUGAGAACUCAGGACUGUAUAUUCUAGGAUGAGAAGGAAAAACAAAAGGAGUUCAGGGGGAAUCUGAGAAACUAGCUGAAGGCUUAGUGGUGGAAAGCCCUUUAAGUUUCUGAUAAAGGGUUUCACGUCCAGUCCAGGUCUCUUCUGUAGAGGUUGACUAUAAGAAAGAGGAUACUAAAUGCUGAAUGGUGUUCUGCAAGGAAAGAAUCCCUUGGCAAAGUUCCCAGUUCCUACAAAGUCCACCUGUGCUAAAGCAGAUUCACUCCUUAUGUCAAGAAAUCGUAUGAGGUUGAAGAGAUUCAGGCUGUGGGCUAUCAGGACCACAGACGCUGAAAAGCUGCAUCUUAAGUGCCUCAGGACAUGGCAGAGUGCUGUGGCAUCUCCCCAGGAUGGCAACUGCUGCCCACCGAUGAAGUCUUAGCAAAGUGUUAGCCCUACAGAAGAGGAGUGCAUCUGUGUACUUUGGGCCAUCAAAAAAGUACCACACUGGGUGGCAUAAAUAACAGAAAUUUUAUUAUUUCACUGUUCUGGAGGACAGAAGUCCAAGAUCAAGAUGUUGGGAGGGCUGGUGUCUUCUGAGACCUCUCUCCUUGGUUUAUGGAUGAUGUUUUCCUCUUUUCUGUCUUUCCUUGAUCUUCUCUAUGCCUGUGUCCUAAACUCUUUUUAUAAAGAGUCCAGUCAUGUUGGAUUAGGGCCCACACAUAUAACCUCAUUUAAUCUUAUUUUCAGGUGUUAGGGAUCAGGAGUUUAGCAUACAAAUUUAGGGGGAAUAUAAUUCAGUCCAUAUCAAGAGUAAUAACUGAAUCCUUCAAUCUACUGAUGCCACAUUUGCUUAACGAGAACAUUGUGGAUGUUUGUCUGAAAUCAAGCUCAAUGAACACAUGUCUUCAUCUUGAACACAAUCAUCUAUUUUAGUUCAUUAUAUAUGAGAGACAAGAAAGGCUUAAUAGCACCAAAGCAUGGUUAGUUAGGGUGUCUGCUCUUUAUACAACCAAUAAUCCAAUUCUGACUAUCCUAAUAGUCAGAGUGACCUGUUCUUGUAAAAUAAUUGGCACUCCCUCACCUGUAGGCAGAGAUUCAAUCUUCUCUAAUGCCAAAAGGUACAAUUCUCCAAAAAGCGGUCUGCCUAAUUGUAAGGUGAUCUUCUGUGGCUACUUAUUCUGUGAUAUAGUUAUCAAUGACUCUCAUUAAAGGAAAGAAAAUCACAUAUUUAAUUUCCAUUGGGGCCAACCCCCUGUCUGCACACAAUUCAUACACAGCUGAAGAGAGUGGCAGAUACAUUCUUUGCAAAGGACAACAGCUACAAAAGUACAAGCAUAGAGAGGAGACAGCUGACAAAAAAUGACAGUAUCUGGUAUAAAGGCAGUUUAGGGAAGGUACUUCUGGUGGUAGAAGGUGAAAUGUAAAGAGGAGGAGGUAAGUUACAAAGGACAUGGAAUGAAAAGCUAAAGAAUUUCAAGUUAUUCUGAAAGUUUUUCUGUUUAAAGGAAAAUUUGUUCUUGUUCUUUCAUAAAUGAUCCUUAGAGUAUUUGCCUGUUGACAGUUAUACAGAACAGAAGUCACAGGUACUUACUGUCAUCAUAAUGUUCUUAAAGCUUUCAGUUUAUGAAAAUAUAUUAUGGAUGUG